rnacentral:tRNA from 1 species
GUCAGGAUGGCCGAGUAGUCUAAGGCGCCAGACUCAAGUUCUGGUCUCCGAAAGAGGGCGUGGGUUCAAAUCCCACUUCUGACA